UACGUAGGUGGCAAGCGUUUUCCGGAUUUACUGGGCGUAAAGAGCGCGCAGGCGGCCAGGUCAGUCGAAUGUGAAAGCCCCCGGCUCAACUGGGGAGGGUCGUUCGAUACUGCCUGGCUCGAAGGUAGGAGAGGGAAGUGGAAUUUCAGGUGUAGUGGUGAAAUGCGUAGAUAUCUGAAGGAACACCAGUGGCGAAGGCGACUUUCUGGCCUAUUCUUGACGCUGAGGCGCGAAAGCUAGGGGAGCGAACGGG
rnacentral:rRNA from 1 species